CAGCAGUAGCCGCGGUAAUACGUAGGUGGCGAGCGUUGUCCGGACUUAUUGGGCGUAAAGGGAGUGUAGGCGGUCUUUUAAGUCUGAUGUGAAAGCCCACGGCUCAACCGUGGAGGGUCAUUGGAAACUGGGAGACUCGAGUGCAGAAGAGGGGAGUGGAAUUCCACGUGUAGCGGUGAAAUGCGUAGAGAUGUGGAGGAACACCAGUGGCGAAGGCGACUCUCUGGUCUGUAACUGACGCUGAGGAGCGAAAGCGUGGGGAGCGAACAGGAUUAGAUACCCCCGUAGUCCCUGUCUCUUAUAC
rnacentral:rRNA from 1 species